rfam:Citrus clementina cultivar Clemenules unplaced genomic scaffold scaffold_7, whole genome shotgun sequence.
GGUUUCUGAUGAUAAUCCUGAAGGCUUGUUUCUCAUUUAUUCGCAGUGGCCGCCUAAGAGCUUUCGCCUUCGCAGGGCUUGAGAGCUUAUGCUGCUUCAUUCCUUCCUUGGAUGUCUGAAACC